GACGAACGCUGGCGGCGUGCUUAACACAUGCAAGUCGAACGAGAGCGUAGAGAAAGCUUGCUUUUUCUACAAUCUAGUGGCAAACGGGUGAGUAACGCGUAAACAACCUGCCCUACGGAUGGGGACAACAGCUGGAAACGGCUGCUAAUACCGAAUACGUUCCGAAAGUCGCAUGACUAUCGGAAGAAAGGAUGGCCUCUAUUUAUAAGCUAUCGCCGGAGGAGGGGUUUGCGUCUGAUUAGCUAGUUGGAGGGGUAACGGCCCACCAAGGCGACGAUCAGUAGCCGGUCUGAGAGGAUGAACGGCCACAUUGGAACUGAGGCACGGUCCAGACUCCUACGGGAGGCAGCAGUGGGGAAUCUUCCGCAAUGGGCGAAAGCCUGGCGGAGCAACGCCGCGUGAGUGAAGACGGCCUUCGGGUUGUAAAGCUCUGUUAUACGGGACGAAUAAUCUUGUGGUUAAUACCCAUGAGAAGUGACGGUACCGUAAGAGAAAGCCACGGCUAACUACGUG
rnacentral:rRNA from 1 species